ACCUAGUUGAAGAGUCUCAAAUAGGACGAAACGUAUGUUCUGGAU
rfam:Schistosoma mattheei strain Denwood, Zambia genome assembly, scaffold: SMTD_scaffold0018149